rnacentral:rRNA from 1 species
UACGUAGGGGGCAAGCGUUGUCCGGAAUCAUUGGGCGUAAAGAGCGUGUAGGCGGCCAGGUAGGUCGGUUGUGAAAACUGGAGGCUCAACCUUCAGAGGUCGACCGAAACCAUCUGGCUAGAGUCCGGGAGAGGAGAGUGGAAUCCUGGUGUAGCGGUGAAAUGCGCAGAUAUCAGGAAGAACACCCGUGGCGAAAGCGGCUCUCUGGAACGGUACUGACGCUGAGACGCGAAAGCGUGGGGAGCGAACAGG